GACGAACGCUGGCGGCGUGCUUAACACAUGCAAGUCGAACGGAAAGGCCCUGCUUUUGUGGGGUGCUCGAGUGGCGAACGGGUGAGUAACACGUGAGUAACCUGCCCUUGACUUUGGAAUAACUUCAGGAAACUGGGGCUAAUACCGGAUAGGAGCUCCUGCUGCAUGGUGGGGGUUGGAAAGUUUCGGCGGUUGGGGAUGGACUCGCGGCUUAUCAGCUUGUUGGUGGGGUAGUGGCUUACCAAGGCUUUGACGGGUAGCCGGCCUGAGAGGGUGACCGGCCACAUUGGGACUGAGAUACGGACCAGACUCCUACGGGAGGCAGCAGUGGGGAAUAUUGCACAAUGGGCGGAAGCCUGAUGCAGCAACGCCGCGUGCGGGAUGACGGCCUUCGGGUUGUAAACCGCUUUCGCCUGUGACGAAGCGUGAGUGACGGUAAUGGGUAAAGAAGCACCGGCUAACUACGUG
rnacentral:rRNA from 1 species